CCUGGCUCAGGACGAACGCUGGCGGCGUGCCUAAUACAUGCAAGUCGAACGAGAGCGACCGGUGCUUGCACUGGUUAAUCUAGUGGCGAACGGGUGAGUAACACGUGGGUAACCUGCCCAUCAGAGGGGGAUAACAUCCGGAAACGGAUGCUAAAACCGCAUAGGUCUUCGAGCUGCAUGGCUUGAAGAGGAAAAGAGGCGCAAGCUUCUGCUGAUGGAUGGACCCGCGGUGCAUUAGCUAGUUGGUGAGGUAACGGCUCACCAAGGCCGUGAUGCAUAGCCGACCUGAGAGGGUGAUCGGCACCUUUGUGACUGAGACACGGCCCAAACCCCUCGGA
rnacentral:rRNA from 1 species